rnacentral:rRNA from 1 species
GCGUAAUAGCUCACUAGUCGAGUGACACUGCGCCGAAAAUGUACCGGGGCUAAACAUAUUACCGAAGCUGUGGAUUGUCCGUAGGACAAUGGUAGGAGAGCGUUCUAAGGGCGUUGAAGCAUGAUCGCAAGGACAUGUGGAGCGCUUAGAAGUGAGAAUGCCGGUGUGAGUAGCGAAAGACGGGUGAGAAUCCCGUCCACCGAUUGACUAAGGUUUCCAGAGGAAGGCUCGUCCGCUCUGGGUUAGUCGGGUCCU